GACAACCUGGUGUGACCACGAGUCCGGAGGGAAUUUCUGAUCGAUUUUCUUUAUUUCUUCUAAAAAGAUACAUGUGGUGUUGGAAACACACCUGUGAUCAGGUACCGCAGCCACAGUCACCAGGGACAACAUGUGCAUACCAGCCGUCAUGGCAGCCAGAAUGUGGAGUAUGAACUGGAAACAUUGGUACCGCCCGAAGUCUCCUGAAACACCAACAAAGUGAGAAUUUACGGGUAGUCUGCACUGCGAGCAUCAACAUCUGCACACCGAGCGUGUGCAGCGUCGUCGGCUGCGAGUACAUGGAGAUGUUCCUCAACUGUACUGCCUAAGGUUUGAACUCGCAUGUUGUAUUAUAUUUAUAAUUUCUUAACCUAACAUUAUACAAUUUAUACAUCUGUACCUUUUUAAAAUAAAAGAGUUCUGGUCAUAAGUAGGUGUUAGUUAUGAACCACCAAUCCUAACUGUACCUUUUAUGUUGCCCACAAUAAUAAGAUGCAUGACAUGGUUCGCGUUGGCGCAGACCCAGUAGAAACAAAAUACGACCUCAAUACACAAAAUUCCACGUAUAAAUAAACAGCAAUAAUUGUAAUUGUUUCACAUGUUGGCCCCAUUAAACAUUUA